UACGUAGGGGGGCAAGCGUUGUCCGGAUUCAUUGGGCGUAAAGAGCGUGUAGGCGGCCAGGUAGGUCGGUUGUGAAAACUGGAGGCUCAACCUUCAGACGUCGACCGAAACCAUCUGGCUAGAGUCCGGGAGAGGAGAGUGGAAUUCCUGGUGUAGCGGUGAAAUGCGCAGAUAUCAGGAAGAACACCCGUGGCGAAAGCGGCUCUCUGGAACGGUACUGACGCUGAGACGCGAAAGCGUGGGGAGCGAACAGG
rnacentral:rRNA from 1 species